rnacentral:sRNA from 1 species
GUUUGCACAAAGAACAACUCUUCUCAAAGACCAGGAAGAUGUAGGGGAAACCGAGGCUCAGAUAGAGGUCCAGAGAGCUGGAAUCUGAACGAGGCUUGAUUGACUCCAUAUUUAAUGCUUAUGGACCAGGUGAGGGAGGGGAUCACCUCCAGGACCGAGGGGUAGGAACUGUCCAGGUCUUUUUUAAAAAGUUAAACAUCACAGUCAGACUGGGAUUAGGGGGGGGCAUGUGCUGGCUUUAGGGGUUGGAGACAGAGCGGUGAUGUUUAUCAGCCCAACUUCCAUGUGCUGUCUCCCACAGAGCUGAGACUCCCUUCUGGAAAUCAGAGGCCAAAUGGGAAGGCAUUUCUGCCUCAAGGGUCUCCUUGUAUCGGCGUCCACAGGGACAGCAGAGACGGGGACUCACACUUGUUCUGAAUAGACACCCAGGGAGCAACGAGUCUUGACAAGUAAGCGAUUUGGAAUUGAACAUUAAGUUUAAAAUGACUGUGGAUGUGGCAAGAGCAAGAAUCCAGAAAUGAGUCACACUCAUUACUGGAAUGGAAAAACGUCCUUCGCAAGGAGGGAGAGGGACAAGGAGGACGGCAGCGUUAGCCACCUCCAGGACAGAAUUGUAGGAAACGAGUCAAAGUCGCGGCCAGCAUGGGCGCAGGUGGACUGGGGGAGGGGCGAUCGCAGAGGCUGCCUUUCGGAGAGCCUCCAGGCCAGGCAUCUGUCCCUGGAGAAGCAGUUUGAGGCCCUUGAGCAGAGCUCAUUUUGCCCUAUUGUGUCCGAGUGUGUUCCAGAGAAAUCUGUUUCCUGACUGAAGGCUGCUAAAUCAGGGCUGGCUGUAGAUGGUGCCACUCGGAGCAGCUGCAAACAACAACGGAUUAAAGACCGGAGGAAGAGGUGCAGCCAGUUUAAGGGAUUCUGAAGGGGGUGGGGGUGGAGUGACCUGAAGUCACAGGGAUGCUGGAGGAUGAUGACUGUCCUGUCCCACCAUUCGGGUUACCAGGCCAUCCAAAACAGUGCCUCUGAAGACAAAAAAGCUCCCCAGGGCCUCUGAAGUCAGAUGCCAGUGAGGAGGCCCCCUAGCGGCUCUAAUUCUGAAGCCUCCUCCUUACCCUACAUAAUUAAAGCUUCUUUGCAAGUUUGUAGCUCCUGCAGAGGGGCAGCGCUCUUGGGUGGUUCACCCAAACGUGAGGUGUUGUUGACUUAACCCGCUUGUUUCUUUUUGCAGCUGGGGCCAGGCUCAGAUACUGCAAACAGGUUCCCUCCACCGCACUAUCCACGCAACAGUCAAGAUGAUACCCCCGCCCCCAGGGCGUUACUGUAAACUCUUCCAAACUGCGGGAAAGUUGAGAGAAUUUCACAGUGGAUACUCAUCUCCAGUGUGAUUUUAUACGCUCUGUUUUCCUCUUUAAGAGGGAGGGCGUUCAUUUGAGCCAACCAUCCAUCUCCUUCUUGAGGGAUCUGUCCCACGGGCACCUGGAAGCAGGAACUGAGGAACUUCCAAGCCAUUCAAGCACAUCCUCAGCCAGAUUCCAAUAUUUGUCACUUUUUUUUAAAACAAAAAAAUGCCAGAAUGAUCCUUUAAAAACAUAAAGAUGGUUGCCAGACACUCGCAUUUAAAAUCUGUGUAUCCAUUAGGGGCCUCUCAGACUCUUCCUGCCACUCCAUGUGACCCAGUCCUGUCAAAUUUGCCAGCCGCCUCCAGCCUCCAUGUGUUAGAGCUAAUGGGUGAGGCCUGAAUGCUCACUUGGCCUUUCAGAAGCUGUUGACUAAGCCAAGAAGUUAUCCAGCAAAAAUUCUCAGAAAGUCACAUCUUUGCAUUUGGCAAUGUGCUUUCCCGUCUGUCCCUGCCCUCUCUGCAUCCCUGGAAGGAGCUCCUCAGGCUCAUCUCCCUGACAGCUCAUCAAAUGCAAUUUGUGUCUCCUUCAUGAUUUUAAUUUCAAAGAAUGAAAUUUAUAUCCCAUGGAUAAGAAGGAGUAAGUAUACAAACUUCCAGAUUUGUCUUAUUCCUUACGUCUCUGCUAUACACUGAAAAUGACUGGGAGAUUUCACAACGUAUUUUGCAGUUUAAAGGAAUAAAAUGGUAAAGAACAAUUGCUAACUUUGUACUCGUUUGUUUGUUUGCUUGUUUGUUUGUUGUGCCUAUGCACAUGUGCUGCUGCCUGAGUGUGGGGCCAGAGAGCAACCUGCCGAGAGCUGGCUCUUGCUUUCUGUCAUGGAUUAGACUCAGCUCAUCAGGGAAGCAGAGCUGAUGGCUGGCCGGAGAUGAACUCCCUCAGAGAUGGUGGGUAAAUGACCCUGUAGUGUGAUCAUUAAGUAGUUUCCAUCCUAGAACAAUGAGUCUUGCGAUCCUCAAUCCUGCAGUGGCCUCUUUCAAGCCCCCAAACUUUUGGAUGGCUUCUUGUUUUUAUGAGACUUACAGUGCCAUGAGAUAUGAACAGUAAUGAAUAUUCAGUGACUCCAGUUUACAGAGCUAGACUUCUCACUUGCCGAAUGGCCCCUUAUAUUUGAGUUGAGGAUUUUAUGUUUCUGCUCACGCCAGUGGGAUGUCUGGUUACCAAGGAUACUGGGCAUAAAAGGAUCCACUGAGUCAUCUCGCCAAACUGUUCUUGAAGACAAAGCAUGGCGCAUAUCUGUAGCUAUGUGGGUAGUCGUUCACCCUCCAAAUUCCCAGGCAUGAUGGUAUGCUUUUAAUCUGGAAUUUGUCUAAUGAAAUCAUCUCUAUAAAUUGGCGAGUGCAUUCUUCAGAAGGAAUAGGGCUGUGGUUGUCCAAAGACCUUUGCCUUACCCAAGUCAGGCCCAAAAGGGAGAUGACUGAGAUGUCCCAAGUGUCUGUCCAGUUCUAGGUCCUAUACCAAACCUUGGCCGUGUCUCAUGUCCUUGCCCAUUUACUUGCUGGAAAUAAAGACAAGGUCAUAUGUGAACAAUGUAUGAUGUGUACAAUGUAGUAUUGAUCAGCAGCACGACUAAUGGACGAAUGGGUGUGUAAGCAACCUUGCACAGGAAUUGUAAGCCCGUUUUGUUAGUGGCCUUGGAGAAGUGAAACAAGUCUAUUAGUUUUGUGUCUUUAUCAUCAAACUUUAGAUAACUUUGUGUUAUCAUAUUGUUUAAUUCAUCAGAUGUCAGAGGAAACAGUGAUGACCACUCAAAGGUCUGCAUCUCUUUCCCAGGAAGGGGUCAGUGUCUUUCCAGAUGUGCACCUGGUAACUGAAAAUAUUUUGUGGUUAUUUUUAUUUGGAGAUUAAAUGUGGCUUAAGGAAAAGUAUGCUCUGAUGAUUUACGAUUCUAUUUGUCUAGAGUUUUGCUCCAUUUUAAAAUAAAACAGUAUCGUAGAGCUACAGUGAGACAUUUUGCGUGUUGUUAAAUCAUGAACAAUGGAACGAUGAUUUGGUAAAAUUCAUGUUCUCCAAAUUUUGCAUUAAGUGAGGCAGGGCAAAGUGCAUUAAAAUCUCCCUUAGCAUUGAAAACUUAUGAGUAUUCUUUUAUUUUGAGAUAACUACAUCAUUCUCAUCUUCUUACUUCCUCCAAAC